GAGAAAUCUUUUGGCAUUCUGUCCACCUCCAUAACUUAGCCAUUCUCAUUUCAGAUGUAGAAUGAUAAAUAAAUGAAGAACAGGAGGUGGAUAGUUUGCCAACAGAGCUCU
rnacentral:pre_miRNA from 1 species